rnacentral:snRNA from 1 species
GUGCUAGCUUCGGCAGCACAUAUACUAAAAUUGGAACGAUACAGAGAAGAUUAGCAAGUUGUAGAGUUGUACACGUGUUUUUCUACAUUUUU